CCUACGGGAGGCAGCAGUAGGGAAUCUUUCACAAUGGGCGAAAGCCUGAUGGAGCAACGCCGCGUGCAGGAUGAAGGCCUUCGGGUUGUAAACUGCUUUUAUAAGCGAGAAAUAUGAUGGUAACUUAUGAAUAAGGAUCGGCUAACUACGUGCCAGCAGCCGCGGUCAUACGUAGGAUCCGAGCAUUAUCCGGAGUGACUGGGUGUAAAGAGUUGCGUAGGUGGCAUAAUAAGUAGCUAGUGAAAUCUGGUGGCUCAACCAUUCAGACUAUUAGCUAAACUGUUAAGCUCGAGACCGUUAGAGGUAACUGGAAUUUCUAGUGUAGGAGUGAAAUCCGUAGAUAGUAGAAGGAACACCAAUAGCGUAGGCAGGUUGCUGGGACGGUUCUGACACUAAGGCACGAAAGCGUAGGGAGCAAACGGGAUUAGAUACCCGUGUAGUC
rnacentral:rRNA from 1 species